GGGUCAACUCUCGAACAAAGUUUGGUUAUACCUACGGGGGCUAGACCUGUGGUGUCAUCAUCCAUACGGUUCUACCGUCUGGUUGUUGUAGCAAUAUUAUUAUCGUUAGUAGCUCACGCCUGACAUAAUAUUGUGAUAAAUCUAAUACAUUUUUAGAUUUAAAUAUGACUUUAAUAACUGAAUAAAUACUUUUCUUCUACAAAAAUAUAGAGAGACACUCUCGUUGAAUAUUGUUUUAGUAACGUAUGGGUAAGAUUUUCUAAACGAAGUGUGGCAACCCCAAUUUCUUAAUAAAAAAUAAAAAUGUUAUAAAAUGAAAAUGGCGUCAUUUCACCAAAUAUUUUAAAACACAAAUUCACAAAUAAUAAAAUAAAUGUUUGCCACGGCCUGUUAAUAUUUAUGAAGACCUCUUCAUGGAUUGGAUUUAAGCAACCUACUGUGUAAUAUCCUCGCCAUUCUUGAUGUUGAGAAGAUCUAUAAGUCUUUUACGUUUCAUCUGAGUGUUGUGGUUUUUCAUUACGUUAAAAAUAAGACUUUGUUAGUUCAAGUGUCUCUAUAACUAUAAAGAAGAACAAAAGAAAAUGCUUUGAGUGUGGUUCUUCGCCUGCCGAUGAUCCAGAGAAGACCCUACAGAGAUUACCGAAACUUGAUUCUACAAAUUUAGUCUCCGGUAGCUUAAUCUGGAGCAACAUAAGGUUAAUUAUGAAAUGGUAAUGAAAAUAAACAUCUGAGAAAAGCAAAUUCCAUGAACUAAUUUGAAAGUAUCUCUUACCAGAAGUAAAUUUUUUACUAUACCACUGUUCAAUAUUAAACCACAGGUAUAUGUACUAAAGGCAGGUAGAGUAAAGUUUGAGUUUUAUUUUUGAAUCUAUAAUAAGUAGUUUAUAAUUAUGUAAUGAUGAACCAGAACAAUUUGUUAAUUUGAAACUACAAUUACAAGUUUUUAUAAUUAUGUUAGGCAUUAGGCAGACUAAUGAAGAGUAUGUCACUUUACUUUGUACGAAAAUCUGUUCUUUGACAUGAUUAUAGAAUAAGAUGAUAAGUGAUGAUGCAAUCUAAGAUGGAAGCGAGAUAACUAGUUAGGCAAAGGAUGAAAAUCCACACGCAUUUCUGUUUCUACAUAGUAUCUCACCGGAACACUAAAUCGCUUGCCAGUAGGGUAUUAACUAGCCAGCCAGACAUAGACCAGAAAGAAAACCUCAAUCGGCCCAGCCGGGGAUAGAACCCAGGACUUUUGCGUAGUUAAUCCACUGUGCUAUGGAGGCCAUUUCAGCAAUAUUUUUCUUGCCUUGAUCUAUAAAAGCUUUUGCCAAUAAUAAGCUACAUUUUUCAUUGAAGGUUGUUUGAAAGAAAUAGCUUUUAGCUAUAAGACCUAAGCUUUGCACAUUUUACUUUUUUUUUCUUUUUGACAAUGUAGCUUCUGUGAACAGUUGAGGAAUUCCCUCAUCUGUGUUUCUGUUCUAUCAUCAGAUUGCCUCCGGACAUUUUAGUUAUAUUUCUCACUUGGUUCUUGUCAAGGUUUUGUAAUAAAUAAUAAUAACAAAUGAACUAAGUAAAAAUGGCUAUGUGGUUAGUCUGUCUGCCGUAGAAGUAGGUGCGAGAGGAUUACCAACAAAAUCUUUCUAUAACUUGUUUAAAGACCUUGGCAUCUUUAGGACUGCAGCAACUUCUAUGUAGAAGAAAGAGAGAAAGAAGAAUAAGUAUCCAAAGCUGCUCUUAGUAGGAUCUUACCAAAUUCGGCUAAGCAGGGAGAACAACACAAGUAGGGGAGUUUAAUCAAUUGUCAAGGAAUUCCUUAACCCUACAUCCUGUAGCCACAACUCCAGGACUCUGCUCGGAGUAUUUCUCUCUACCAGGCGAUGGACCUGGCACCUGCACGGAAUGCUAAGAUAUUCAUCUGUCUCUUCAUGCGUAGUAUGUUUAUGUAUUUUUAAUUAAAUUUACUCACUCUCUUUAUUUCAGUAAUGUCCAGAUAAUCAAUGAUUAGACCAUUGGACUUUUAGAAUAAAUUUUACAUUGAACUAUGAAUGGUUUGUCAUCUACAUUUUUAAAAAAGACGAGAUGUUUUGCCUGUGAGAAGAAGAGAGAGAGAGAAUAAGAAGCAAUCCUGCUUCUUCACAUGAAUUUUACCCGCAUGACGACGGUUUUUAAUAUAAAAAAUAUUUACAAUGUCUCAAAAAGCAAUCAAAGCUUUGAAAAAUAAACAAUGUUCGCAGAAGUUCAAUACCAACAAACUCACAAAAAAUGAGCCCAAAUUUAGCAUUACUUGCAAGCCAGACUAAGAAAUUUCAAGAAGAUAAUUUAAAAGAAGACAAUAGAAUAAAAUAAUAUUAACACACAAUGCUUAGCAAAUAUAGCAUUAACAGAUGAAAACCAGGCAAUAGGUGUAGCAAAAUAGAAGAUGAAGGUCUAGCUGUGCCAGUGCUGAGCCACGCAGUUGCUACUGGCAUGUUUGCAAAAUAGCACAAGGUGUAGCAAAAUAGAAGAUGAAGGUCUAGCUGUGCCAGUGCUGAGCCACGCAGUUGCUACUGGCAUGUUUGCAAAAUAGCACAAGGUGUAGCAAAACAGAAGAUGAAGGUCUAGCUGAGCCAGUGCUGAGCCACGCAGUUGCUACUGGCAUGUUUGCAAAAUAGCACAAGGUGCUGUAAAAUGAAGAUAUAUUGUUAAAUAUCAUGAGAUAGAAAUAAAAGAUGAAGAUCUAGCUGUACCCAUCCCGAGCCACAAUACUGCAGCCACGUUGCUGCUGGCAAUUUUGCAAAAUAGCACAAGGUCACAACAAUUGAUGUAACAAAUAUAAUCAAUGGACCAGGCACCUGCACCAUGAUUCUUUGGAAUACUAAAAUUCGUCUCUUUAUGUCUGUACAUAAUUCUCAUAAUGAAAAAUGUCACGUUUUUAUGAAAGAAAUAAUGGAAUCAAAUAAUAAAUAAAACAAGCAUAUGCUGGAAGUCCUCAGAAACAGCUCCGACUUUAAUGAUUUUUUUUAAAGUCAUGUUUUUUAUGUUAUUUAAAAUCAGAAAUGUUUUGGUGGACGAAAUUAUUUAAAUUGUUAAAAAAUAUCUAUGCUAUUUAUACAUAUUUUUUUUUAAAUACAACCGACUUCAAAAAUACAAACUUAUGCAGAAAACUAACAAACGAAAGAAAAUAUUAUAAUAUUCACUUUGAAGAUCACUUUGAAGGCGGUGCUAAUGAUCCAAUUAAUGGGUCGACAAUUAGUUAUCUAUUGUUUUCCUAGCUAUAGGGUUCGAAUUGCUUUUUCAUAUCUUUAAAAGACUAUCUUCGGAAUGAACCCUUUAUAAUAAAAAAGUAUUAUCAAAAUCGGACCACUCAAUAAAAAGUUAUACUUGGUUGUAUACUAAAAUUAAUGGUUAAACAAUCAAUUAUCCCCUGUUUUCGUAAUGUAAAACCAAGCAUAACUGUUAACAUGAGUAGUCCGAUUUUGAUAAUUGUUUUGAUUGAUCAUUCUUGAUUGUUUUAGUUUAAAACCAAGCAUGUCUUCGAAUUCCGAUUUGAAUAACUUUGUUUUAAAUAGAAAGGGUAUAUUCCGACAAUGGUCCCAAAUCAUUAUAAAUUUAAAAAAACGAAGAUGACUGGUUAUUUUCCCAUUAAUUGUAUAGUAAAACUAUGCGUAACUUAUUACGAAGUGGUCCGAUUUCGUAAAUUCUUUAUAGAUUGUAAAGGUAUUUUGAUUGUAAAGCUCCCAUAUAAAUUUUAAAAAACAAUUCCAAUCCUAAAUGUGCGAUUGAUUGUUUUCUCAUUCAUUUUAAUGUAAAACCAAGCAUAACUUCUUAUUGGGUGGUUCGAUUUUGAUUAUUCAUUUUUUGAUAGAAAGGGUAUAUUCCUAAAAGUCUCAUAAAAUGUUGGAUAACAAUUUCAAACCUAAUAGUAGGAAAAUAGAAGAUGAUUAAUUGUUUUCCCAUUUAUUGUAAUGUUAAACUUAACUUUUUACUGAGUGGACCGAUUUCGAAAAUUCUUUACUUUUUGUAAAGGGUUUAUUUCGAAGUAGGUCCCAUAUAAAUUUCGGAAAACAAUUCGAAUCCUUAAGAUGGAAAAAAACGGUACGAUUGAUUGCCUACCCAUUAAUUGUAGAAUUGGCACCGGCUUCAAAGUAAUCAGUAGAUAGAAAAUAUUAUAAUGUUUUCUUCAGCUUAUUAGUUUACUGCAUAACUUUGUGUUUUUGAAGUCGGUAGUGUUUGUUUUUUAAUUAUUUAUUAUAUAAACAGCAUAACUAUUGUUAAAUAGUAUAAAUCGUUCCAUCCUCAGUCCAAAAGGUUUGAUUUCAAAUAAUAUAAAGAAACAAACUGAACAAAAAUAAUCAUCAAAAUCAGAGCUGUUUCUGAGGAGGUUGAGGGUAAAUGCUCUAUUGAUUCGCCUAAAAGUAAUAUUAUGUUAUCGCAUUAGGUUGUAAAGUUUAGCUAAUGAAAGUAGAGAUUGAUAUUGCCCGCCAAAUUUAAAAAUCAUAUAAAUAAAUUAAAAAAACAUGCGUUUUCAUAAUUUAUUUAAAUUAGUUUUUCUUUGUGAAUACAUUAUUACCUUUACUAUAAGUGUUAAACUCAGUUAUUCCAAUAUUUGCACUAUAAUUUUGAGAAUUUACUCCGAUUUUUUAAAAUUUGGCGGGUGAUUUCAGUUUCUACUUUCAUUAGCCAAAUUCUAAUAAUUUUAUUGUUUAUGAAAUUUAUACUAAUUAGAAAGAGGAAGAAUUUGAUUAUUUGUUUGUUUGCAUUGAAUAGGCUCUGAAACUACUUUGCUGAUUAAAAAAUUUCUUACAGCAUUAUAAUCAUGGAUUAGGCCAUAAUUGUUAUCUCUGUAUUCCCACGGGAACGAGAACUACAUUGUUGAAACUGCGUGACGUUUGCAUAGUUUAUCAUAUGUACAAAUAUCCCGACAAUCUAUAUUUUUAUGUAUGAAUUGGUUAAGUUAUAAUUGACUUGAUUUUCCCAAAUAUCUCAGUGAAGUCACCCAAUUGAUGCAUAGAUAUAUUUUUAUUUUGGUUUUCAUUUUACUUUAAAGAUAAAAUUUAGUUUUAGAAGCAAAAUGAAUAUAUGUAGAUUACAUUUUAGGUGCUGAUGUUUACUUAGUUAUUGAUUAAGUGCAUAAGAUUUUUCAUUUGACAAUAAAGACAUUUCAACUUGAAA